ensembl:lncRNA
GUUAAAUGGUUAUUUGUCUUUUGUUACAUCAAGAUGGAAAAAUUAAAGACAGUUCUUAGAUUUUGGUUCUUUCAGUAAUGUUGAAUAUCAAAGGCAAAUGUUAGAAUUUUAUCCUUGAUAUAUAUCUUGUUAAAAAUGAAUACUGACUCUAAUGACUGGAAACGAUGUCAGGAUAUGUGACCACACAUCAAGUCAUUAAUAUUCGUACAAAGUUUGUAAGAUUGAAAAUAUUAAAACCGUUCUGUGCACAAAAACCAGAUGAAACGUACUCAUUUUUAACUUAAAUCUUCGGUUUAGGUUUCUGUGAUGAAGUCCUUCAAACUUCAGGUCCUCCUCAUCACUCUUCUCAUGUAUGCUCCAAGCAGCGUCGCCGUCUUAAACUGCACUGGAUCUGAUGUUCCUUCACUCGUGAACGCUCUCCAGCCGGUCUUUAACCUGAGCUCCAUCAGACCUGUGACAAACGCGUCAAAUCCAGUGACCGUCAACCUGAUCUUCACUUUGACUGCUAUUUUAGGGGUGGAUGAAAAGUCCCAGGUCUUAAAAACAUACAUCUGGCGAACGUUAGUGAGUACUCUAUUAUUUCAUUAUAUUAGGCAUGUAAGCAAAUUACAAAAAUACUUAAAUGAGAUUUAUUUAGGAAAUCAAGUGUUGUAACACGCUUCCACUGUGUGUUGACUGCAGACAUGGACAAACGAGUUUUCUGUGUGGGAUCCAGACAAGUGUGGCACUGCAUGGAUUGCAGUUCCAAGAACUCUGCUCUGGGAACCAGAUAUAGUCAUCAAUGAAUUGUGAGUUCCAUCAUUUAAAGCAAAAUGUAGAUUAUUACAGUCAGGCAGCAUAACAAGUUGCUUUUAAUUUCAAUCUCAGAACCAGAAAGCUGUUUCUUUGCUGGCGUGACAUGCAAAGACCGCCAUGUUGUUAGGAUUGUAGCCUGUAUUGUUGCAGUUUUUAUGUUCAAUAGUCUGUGCUGUGUGUGUACAUUUAUGUAAGAGUUUCUUCACUGUAUAUUUUGUAUUUAUUUUUUGGUGCUCGAAAUAUGCUGCUACUGCAACUUAAUUUUCUUACGGGAUUAAUAAAAUUAAUCUUCAUCUUAAACUGGUAAUUACAGAGGAGGUAGGGAGGUGCAGAUCAAGAUUUUAUAAUUCCUAUUUGGAGGACAUUUUUGUAAUUGUUGACCAAUCAAUACCAUGAAAGCAAUAACACAUUUCUGGAGAAAUCCCAUAAGUACAGGGGCAAAUCACUCAACAGAAAAGCAUUUUAAAGAUCACAAUGAGAAAUAAAUAAGCAAAACAAAUACUUAAAAAACACCAAAACAAAAUGACAGAAACCAAAACAUAAAUAAACAAUUUGGAAAACAAAAGCAAUUUCCAGAAAUUAAAAUGAAAAGUUAAAAAAGGAAACAAAAAGAAACUGCAAAAGGUAUGAUGGAUGAUGAGGUUUGACAAGGACUGAAGUUAUUUGACAUGAAGAUGGAUAUCAUUGUCUAAUCAGCGAUCUCCCAUAAUACCUACCAUUUCUGGUUUGUCAAUUGUGUGUUACGUUUUUUUCUGGAUAUCUUGGAGAGAGAAAAAAAUCUGAAAUGUUUUUUUUUUGCAUUUUGGUUUCUGGAAUUUUGUUUUGUUUUCUAAGAGUUUUUUUCUUUCUUUAAUAUUUAUUUUGCUUUUUGAGUCGUCAAUGUGAUCUUUCAAAU